ACUUAAAUUGAAGAGUUUGAUCAUGGCUCAGAUUGAACGCUGGCGGCAGGCCUAACACAUGCAAGUCGAGCGGUAGCACAGAGAGCUUGCUCUCGGGUGACGAGCGGCGGACGGGUGAGUAAUGUCUGGGAAACUGCCUGAUGGAGGGGGAUAACUACUGGAAACGGUAGCUAAUACCGCAUAACGUCGCAAGACCAAAGUGGGGGACCUUCGGGCCUCAUGCCAUCAGAUGUGCCCAGAUGGGAUUAGCUAGUAGGUGGGGUAAUGGCUCACCUAGGCGACGAUCCCUAGCUGGUCUGAGAGGAUGACCAGCCACACUGGAACUGAGACACGGUCCAGACUCCUACGGGAGGCAGCAGUGGGGAAUAUUGCACAAUGGGCGCAAGCCUGAUGCAGCCAUGCCGCGUGUAUGAAGAAGGCCUUCGGGUUGUAAAGUACUUUCAGCGAGGAGGAAGGCGUUAAGGUUAAUAACCUUGGCGAUUGACGUUACUCGCAGAAGAAGCACCGGCUAACUCCGUGCCAGCAGCCGCGGUAAUACGGAGGGUGCAAGCGUUAAUCGGAAUUACUGGGCGUAAAGCGCACGCAGGCGGUCUGUCAAGUCGGAUGUGAAAUCCCCGGGCUCAACCUGGGAACUGCAUUCGAAACUGGCAGGCUAGAGUCUUGUAGAGGGGGGUAGAAUUCCAGGUGUAGCGGUGAAAUGCGUAGAGAUCUGGAGGAAUACCGGUGGCGAAGGCGGCCCCCUGGACAAAGACUGACGCUCAGGUGCGAAAGCGUGGGGAGCAAACAGGAUUAGAUACCCUGGUAGUCCACGCCGUAAACGAUGUCGACUUGGAGGUUGUGCCCUUGAGGCGUGGCUUCCGGAGCUAACGCGUUAAGUCGACCGCCUGGGGAGUACGGCCGCAAGGUUAAAACUCAAAUGAAUUGACGGGGGCCCGCACAAGCGGUGGAGCAUGUGGUUUAAUUCGAUGCAACGCGAAGAACCUUACCUACUCUUGACAUCCAGAGAACUUAGCAGAGAUGCUUUGGUGCCUUCGGGAACUCUGAGACAGGUGCUGCAUGGCUGUCGUCAGCUCGUGUUGUGAAAUGUUGGGUUAAGUCCCGCAACGAGCGCAACCCUUAUCCUUUGUUGCCAGCGGUUAGGCCGGGAACUCAAAGGAGACUGCCAGUGAUAAACUGGAGGAAGGUGGGGAUGACGUCAAGUCAUCAUGGCCCUUACGAGUAGGGCUACACACGUGCUACAAUGGCAUAUACAAAGAGAAGCGACCUCGCGAGAGCAAGCGGACCUCAUAAAGUAUGUCGUAGUCCGGAUUGGAGUCUGCAACUCGACUCCAUGAAGUCGGAAUCGCUAGUAAUCGUAGAUCAGAAUGCUACGGUGAAUACGUUCCCGGGCCUUGUACACACCGCCCGUCACACCAUGGGAGUGGGUUGCAAAAGAAGUAGGUAGCUUAACCUUCGGGAGGGCGCUUACCACUUUGUGAUUCAUGACUGGGGUGAAGUCGUAACAAGGUAACCGUAGGGGAACCUGCGGUUGGAUCACCUCCUUACCUUAAAGAA
rnacentral:rRNA from 1 species